UUUUAUGGUGUUAGUAAUUAUUUAAUACCAUCAAGCAAAGCCUCCCAAAGUUCUAUGCAAAGCCUCCCAAAGUUCUAUCUUGGAAAUUUGCGAUUAGAAAUGGAUAUAAUCUAAUAUUAGUUUUGAUAGGAAGAUGUGGAGGUCGCGGAUAAGGGUAGAUGGCUAAGGUGUAUGUGUGGGGUGUAGCAUGCAGGUAGGUGAGUUCCUUUGUAGCCGGGUUAGUAAACCUAGGUCUGUGUUCAUAGGGGACGUGUUAUGUUAGUGUAGCUUACUACUAGGUAGGUGUCCUUUGUCUUAUGUCUU
rnacentral:lncRNA from 1 species